GAUGAACGCUGGCGGCGUGCCUAAUACAUGCAAGUCGAGCGAACAGACGAGGAGUUUGCUCCUCUGACGUUAGCGGCGGACGGGUGAGUAACACGUGGAUAACCUACCUAUAAGACUGGGAUAACUUCGGGAAACCGGAGCUAAUACCGGACAAUAUAUUGAACCGCAGGGUUCAUUAGUGAAAGACGGUUUUGCUGUCCCUAAUACAUGGAUCCGCGCCGCAUUAGCUAGUUGGUAAGGUAACGGCUUACCAAGGCAACGAUGCGUAGCCGACCUGAGAGGGUGAUCGGCCACACUGGAACUGAGACACGGUCCAGACUCCUACGGGAGGCAGCAGUAGGGAAUCUUCCGCAAUGGGCGAAAGCUUGACGGAGCAACGCCGCGUGAGUGAUGAAGGUCUUCGGAUCGUAAAACUCUGUUAUUAGGGAAGAACAAAUGUGUAAGUAACUAUGCACGUCUUGACGGUACCUAAUCAGAAAGCCACGGCUAACUACGUG
rnacentral:rRNA from 1 species